AAAAAAUUGAUGAAUUUUGGGAGGAAAUUUGAGGAAUCUCUUGCAGGUGGCUCGGAUCUAGUAAUUUCGUCAUUUCUGUGGAUCUCGUCCCGAAUUGGAGAAAAUGGAUCUUUUAUGUUAGUACAAGUGUGGCAAGAAUUUUACUUUGUCUGUUGUGGAUGUGUCUGCAAGGUCAUUAAUAGAGCAGCAGAAGCAAUAUUACAGAAUGGAUUGUAAUAGGGAGGCGGCCGUCAAGGCAAAGGAAAAUGCUGAGAAGAAAUUCAGUGCUAUGGACAUUAAGGGCGCGAUGAAGUCAGCUUUGAAGGCCCAAAGUCUAUUUCCAUCGCUUGAAGGCAUAAACCAAAUGAUUUCGACUCUCGGCGUUUACCAUGCAGCAGAGAAGAAGAUAAAUGGGGAGCAUGACUGGUAUGCAAUUCUUUCUGUGAGUGCAUCGACAGACGAAGAGACACUGAAGAAGCGUUAUAGGAAGUUAGCGAUACAGCUACACCCUGACAAGAACAAGUCUGUGGGGGCAGAAGAUGCUUUCAAACUCAUUUCAGAGGCUUGGAGUGUAUUGUCUGACAAGAACAAGAAAAUGGCAUUCGAUCAGAUUAGAAAUGCCAAUGGUGUUUGCAACAAAGCCUUUCAAUGGCAUGGUAGUAGCUCUGGACAUGAUCCUCCAAAUGGUUUCUACUCGUUUUCCAGUCCCACCACGUCUAGCAAAAGAGCUCGCAAGAGAAAAACUUCUUCUGUGACUUCUACUGCCCCUCAGGUUCAUCCUGUUAAUCUGAACACAUUUUGGACAUCGUGCAAUCGGUGUAGGAUGCAGUAUGAAUACCUCCGGGUAUACCUUAAUCACAAUCUUCUCUGUCCAAAUUGCCACCAAGCCUUCAUGGCUGUUGAGAUAGGUAUUCCAGGAAAUGCUGCGGAGUCUUCAAUUUGUUGGUCAACCAAGCAACACCAGCAAAAUUCAAAUCAUAAUUACACCGUAGAGAAUGGAUAUAGUUCCGGAUUCAACACCUCUACAUUUCCUGGAACGGCAACUAUGGAAUUCCAGCACCGUCCGAAUUUUGAUUCGUAUAAUCAUCAGAACUUCCAAUGGAAUUCUUUCACUGGAUCAGCUGGAACUGCUGGGACAACAGAUUCUUCAUUUCAUAUUGCAAACUUAAACCAUAAGAAAUACGAGAAAAUGAAAAGAAAAUAUGAGAAGGCACAAGCAGCGGCUCGGAGGGAAGAUUCUUCCAGGGCUGGUUUUCAUGUCUACCAGAGUUCAUUUGAAGGUUCUCAAAAUUACACUACUGAUCAGCAACAACCUAUAUGUAAGGUUGGCAGACCAGCAAAAAGGAAAAACAACUGUGACAAAAACAAUAUUUGUCAGGAAACAGAUGCAUCACAAAAUAUUCCCACUUUCAAUAGAAAACCAUUUGAUAUUGAAGACCAAGGUGCCGUCUCUGAGCUUCCUAGAUCUAAGAUGGAUGCUAGACAGAGCGACCCCUUCAAGGAGUUUUCACAAGUUAAUUCUCGAGGUAUGCUAUUAGAAAAGGCUAAGAUGGCAAUUAGUAAAAAGUUGAACCAAUGGAAGUUUUCUAAGACCAGGAGGUUGAAAGAAAAGGUCCAAUUUAGGCAGACAAAUGGACAGAAAGCAGGUGUAGUACAUAAGGAAGCUAGUAAACAGAUGUUUUUAGCUGUUUCCAGCAUGAAGGAACCGACUAAUGACUGUGCAGAUGAGAAAAUCCUUAGACCAGUAUCAAUUGAUGUACUUGAUCCUGAUUUUUAUGAUUUUGAUAAGGAUCGCUUGGAAAAGACUUUUCAUGGAGAUCAGGUAUGGGCUAUAUAUGACAGUGAAGAUGGUAUGCCUCGUCUCUAUGCCAUGGUUCAGAAAGUUCUGUCUCGGAAUCCUUUUAGUAUUCGCAUGAGUUUUCUUACCUCUAAGUCCAAUAAUGAACUAGGACCAAUUAACUGGGUAGCUUCUGGAUAUGCAAAAACAUGCGGAGAUUUCAGAAUUGGCAGGUAUCGUAUCACCGAUACAGUUAAUAUAUUUUCCCAUCGGGUUAGAUGGGAGAAGGGUCCCAGAGGAGUAAUCAGAAUUGUACCCAGGAAAGGUGAUAUUUGGGCAUUAUACAGAAAUUGGUCUCCAGAUUGGAAUGAACUUACACCUGAUGAUGUGAUAUUCAAAUACGAAAUGGUAGAAGUACUUGAUGAUUAUCAAGAGGAAUGUGGUGUUACUGUCAUCCCAUUGGUGAAAGUUGCUGGUUUCAAAGCAGUGUUUCAUACACAUAUGGACCAAAUGAGGGUUAAGAGGAUUGCAAGGGAAGAAAUGUUUCGUUUCUCACAUCGGGUUCCUUCGUAUUUGCUUACUGGCGAAGAAGCUCCUAAUGCUCUAAAGGGCUGCCUUGAAUUGGACCCAGCGGCAACACCUCUUGAACUUCUUCAGGUUAUUACCGAAGUCAAGGAAGAUGUGAGUAUGGAGUUGAAUGAACAAAGAUAAGGUAAGUAAUUCUCCAUCUGUUAGGUCCAACCCUUGGAAUUAAACAUAGUGCUUCUUCACACAAAAGAAAAAGAAAGGAAAAAACAGCUUCUAUGAUAACUUGGAUUACAAGACCAGGCUAAGAUGAAUUACUUACGUCUUCUACGACAAUUGCUGAUGGUGUUAUCUAACCAUUAACUUUUUUUAUUCCUACAUGGAGAUUGUUGCAUAGUUCUUGAUGCUGGGAGACCAUGUUCUAGUGUUUGAAACCACAUUUCACCUUGAAGGCCUACCUUUCUAUUUCCUUGCAAGGUGAUUCCAUUUCUAACAAAAUAGUUUCGGCUAAUUGAUUGCAGGUCGGAGUAAUUAACUCAAAAGGUGACUUGGGUAUCUUAGUCCACCGAACGGCCGUGUGAAAUGAUGAGAUUAAACGACAUGGCAUCAAUGAUUCGAUCUUACCGAGCUACAAAACUUUUAUCGACUACUACGAGGGCGUCCCCACAAGUUAGGGGUCCCCAGUAGAAAAAUCCAAGAAGUAUAGUGUAUUCUGAAAACGACCGUAUUGCUCCGGUGGUCCAAAGCUUUUUUAGGUGGCAUGAGAAUUCCAUGAAAUUUUAGAGGACGCCGUUAACUGGCAGAUAAUUUACUGGUCCAGGCUGACGUGGACAGAAUUCCCUAGCUUUCAUUUAACGGGCUAGAUUGCCAUCCAAAUCUAAUAAAGCCUGUCUGUCCGACACGCACGCGCGCCGCCUUGUUGACGCCGCUCCGUCGCAGGGUGACUCAUGACGCACCCACUCAGCCGCCCGACGAAUGGACUAUAGCCACAGCGGCAAACAAAUAUUCUGAAUACUGAAACUUUUAUCCUACCCUAAUUUACUACCGGGAG